GUAGCAGGGGGAAGCUUAGGACUGGGCGGCUGCUGCCUCCUCUGCUCGGGGCCCACACUCACCUCAUGGCACCUGCUCAGGCCCUGGGCUCCAAGUGUGGGAGACCCUGUCUGCCAUGGAGCUGGCUCUGGGCUGUGUGUCCUGUGGUUAGGGAAUCCCUGAGGGUAGGGCUGUGCCUCCCCCAUCAGUCUGGGGCAGCCUGACAACUGUGCUUCCUCCAUCAGUUCAGGACUCCUUGAGGCUUGGCAGAGUUGUGCCUCCUCCAUCAGUCUGGGGCUACCUGAGGGCAGGACUAUGCCUCUCCCAUCAGUUUGGGGUUCCCUGAGGGCUGCUGACUCGGAGAAAAUGGAACAAAAGAGGCCAGGAGGAAGGGGAGCAUUAUUGGAAAAACAGCCCAGCCCAGCCGCGGAGGCCUCCUGGGCCCAAGGAGGAAGCAAGCCAGCCUGGCCGCCAAGUUGGACGUGGCUCUCGUUUCGCUCUUGUUGCCCAGGCUGGAGUGCAGUGGCGC